AGAAUGGAGAGUCAAGUCAGUACAGGAGAUUUCAGAUGAGCCUUGUCCUCCCAACUUCAAAGGCCUCACCGCACGUUCUAUUCCCACCCCAGCAUCUCCUUACUGAGGUGUUCACACUCACUCCUCCUUUAAAUCAAGAAAUAUUACAUUUCUUGGCACAGAUGAGAAUCUUUCGUCAGAGCUGAUGGCCUCACAUGAAAACCUGACUUGCCGACUUGUAAUCUAUUUAGGAUAUGCAGACACAUUAACCCUUUAGGCAUUUUUGGAAAUGUGAAUAAUUACAGUUACACAAGAUGGAGGAUUAUACCGGCUGCUUGACAGAUUUUAUUGAAGCAUAAUACUGAAUACUGUAUUUUGUCAAGAAAAAUAAAUGGUUUAACUUUAAA